CAUUAUGUGGUUCAUCAGAUAUUUCAUCUGAUUUAAAAAAAAGAUAUUUCAUCUAACAGACAAAUAAAGUUGAUGCCAACAGUUAAUGCAAAAGCUUCAAAGACGUUGUGCUCUGACAUUUUUAUGUUUUUUUAUCAGUUGUCUGUAGAAGACAUCAUGGAUUGAGUUGUUGAUGUCUAAUUUAUUUUCUAAAACUUUAAUGAAAAUCUGUCCAUAUUUUACUAACAGACAAUGUUGGCCCCAAUGGCUUUUUUGCAUGUGAUGUCACGCUUGGUGCAUUGUGGGUAUUGAGAGAAGGAUAACACCAGACUUGCUGCUAGCUGCUAGCUGCCUAGCUCUGACAGGAUGGUUUUCAUCUUAUUCCAACGUUCCCUGUCUGUAGAAAAACCUGUGGACUGCAAAUGGACGCUAUGAGCUGGAGACGCAGGUUAGCCUGGUCUGCAGCUACAAUAUCCCAUUCAAUCACAUAUCUGCAAACAUGCAAGUUUGUUCCAUGCAUUUUCAAUAAAGUAAGUGGAUUAUUUAUUAUAUGGUUUGUUUGUUUAUCUGGUCUGUGAUACAACAGUUAGCAUUAUUUAAUUUAUGUUGUUCUGUGUGCCUUAUUGUUGUUUAUGCUGUUGGUAAUAUAUAAAAUGAAUGAGCUGAAUGGUGUAGCAUUUUUCCUGCAUAUACAUGUCAUCACUUAUUCAUGACUCGCCAUAGUUGUAAAUGCAUUUAAUCUGUAAAUAAAUGGCUCGUGGAGAAUGUGCCAACAUAA